AGGACGAACGCUGGCGGCGCGCUUAAUACAUGCAAGUCGAGCGAGAACCAGGGCUUCGGCUCUGGGGACAGCGGCGAACGGGUGAGUAACACGUGGGUAAUCAACCCCCGACACCGGGAUAGCCCAGGGAAACUUGGAUUAAUACCGGAUGCUCCAUCCGGCUCUCGAGCCGGCUGGAAAAGGGUAGCUUCGGCCUCCGGUCGGGGACGAGCCCGCGGCGGAUUAGCUUGUUGGUAUGGGUAACGGCCUACCAAGGCGACGAUCCGUAGCUGGUCUGAGAGGACGAUCAGCCACACUGGGACUGAGACACGGCCCAGACUCCUACGGGAGGCAGCAGUAGGGAAUAUUGCACAAUGGGCGCAAGCCUGAUGCAGCGACGCCGCGUGGGGAUGACGGCCUUCGGUUGUAAACCUCUUUCAGCAUCGACGAAGCGCAAGUGACGGUAGAUGCAGAAGAAGCACCGGCCAACUACGCGCCAGCAGCCGCGGU
rnacentral:rRNA from 1 species